UCAUUUUUAACUGUCAAAGUCAUUUUUUAAUAAUAUUGUUUCAAAAAUAUCAGAUUAUCAUAGACUGGGUUCAUUUCUACUGUGUGUUCCUUUUUUUUUGCCAUGAUGCUAAGUGUUAUAGAAAUUAUGUUUUGUUUAUUGCAUUAGACAAUUACAUGUUUAUGUGUGCUGCUCUCAUGUUCUCUGUGAAUAUGUAAAUUACAUGUACCUAUGUAAAUUACAUGUACCUAUGUAAAUUACAUGUAUGGCUAUGAAUAAACCCGCUGUGUGAAUUUUUUUUUAAUUCUAGGUUUAGCAUGCAUCUUUUAAAUCAAUUAUUAGUACUCUAAAUUUGAAACUUUUGAAAUAAAUUUGUCUAUGC
rnacentral:sRNA from 1 species